UACUGGCCUGGUAUAUAUUAUCUACUGGGUCUGGGGGGGGUCAUACUGGCCUGGUAUCUAUUAGCAUGUAACAGUUGUUCAACGCUAUUAAAACCACCCACAUCUCCAUUUGUGGGCUAGUUUGUGUAAUCGUUAUUAACAAAAUGUUUUUCGCAAAACAGUAGGCUAGCUCUUGUAUGAUAGCCUACAGUCGUCUACUGACGCAUGUGAUUAAUGAUCAUCAAUGUUUUCCAUUUCUGUAGCCUAUAUCUUGUUAUAAAUAAAUAGGGCCUACAGUUUAUGCAACAUAAUUUGUCCCACAGAGGUAAAACUCAAGUCUCAGACAGUCGGUUAACUAAAUUAAAAGACUCGUCAGAUUUCGACAACUUACAUGUCACUUAACUGCACUUCCUAUAUCGUUCACGGCAAUAAGAGAAAGUCAGCUGGCUACAUUUUUAAAAAAUCACUUUUUUUUUAAAGUUCGUGGCAGUUCCAAAUUUGCGAACACAUUCCGACAGUGAAAGUUUUGACGAACUUUUCACGUCAGCAAGGUCAAUUAGAUUUGAAUAGUUUACGAUUUUUUUUCAAUUGAAAAUACCAGCGCUGUCUAUUUAUUUUGAGUUUCAUUCAAUAUUUCAAAGGCCUUGAGGUAGGCCGAUAAGCUCCUUCAACGUCGUAAUUAUGGUCGAGACUUGUGUGCAGCGUAUCGUGCCCCCACAGACAGCAACAUACCACGCGCAGGAAGGGAAAAAUAUCAAAAACGCGCAUUACCUCGGUUUCUUUUGAGCGAGAAGAUAAGGGAAGACCAAUGAUUGGAUGGACUGUAAUAACUGAAGAUAAUGCAAGAGGGGCCUUUAACUGACUACAAGAGGAAGCUUUCAGUCUUUGGACCCAAAGUUCGGUGAGGAAGACAACCAUUGUCACAACAUGGACCAAAGGACAUGACCUUACAAGUGCACUCUAGGGUCUGUGUACAUUUUGUUAUUUUGAUUUCCGAGUGGAAAAACAAAGUCAAUGUAUUUUCAAAUUUAUUGUGUCAAAGUUGGACAUGGAAUAAUGGAAAACAAAUAACAACAAAAUAUCAUUACAUUUUGGGAUUUUAGUUUCUUGUUUUGUUCAUACCCAGAUGUACACACCCCCUCAUAGAAUGUUCAUUGUUUAGGGGGAGUGUUUACAGUCGAGGUCGGUAGCACAAAGAGAGGAUUUGAUUGUAUGAGUGUGACCGGAAGAUAAAAUUACUAAUGUUAGCUAAGAUGCAGCACUUAUUAUAAAGUUUGCAUGCCAAUAGAACAAACUCAACAACAACUGAACAAAGUUGGCUAGUAGGUUACUGGCUAUGCUAUAGUCAUACUAGCUAGUAGUAGUUAGUGUAAGUAAGUUAGUCCCUAAACCUGCUACAAGAUAAAGCUGCCUUGGCAGAGCUACCCGCUGCAGAAAGGUCAGAUUAGCUAUAUCCUAUAUCUUUUGUCGACUGAUGGUGUUUAUUGACAGAGGAAAAAUUAACAGCAGUUACUGUAAAUGUUACUGUAAAUGGUUACCUAUCUGGCACUUUGCAUAGCUAACUUAGCUAUUGCAUACACCUCCAACAAUAUCAAAUUAACCUAUAGUCAGUGCUGAUGUGUGUGUGUACACCUGUGUGUGUGUACUAAAUAUACUAGCUACACUAAUACAGUCUCUAAUAGUUUUAUAAUAAUACUCUAAUAUUGGUGAGGACAGACAUACCAAUACGUGCAAGAAAGUUCACAUUGUUUAUUUAAACUCAAUCAGUCAUUCUCAGAAUUAUUUAUUGUUUAAAUUAUUUUUAACUUUAAUUGGACAAGUAGGCUAUAACAUUUUUGUCAUGAAGAAAGUUGUAAGGACUUAGGCUUGCUUGAAUACCUUGAAGAAAAGCUGUUGGUGUUGUGAUCAAAGAGCAAACAGAAAAAAGGAAAAAAAACAUUGACACAAAAUAAUGACAAAACAAAACAACGAGAGUGUGUAUUGGUUACAUAGACUCCCAAUGUUGUGUCCCAAAGCUACUCUCGCUACAACUGUGGAGCAGCUGUGGGUUCCCCUGAGUUUAACUGUAAAUGACCCACAGCACUCCACCACUGCAGCUAAAGCCAGCAGCACAGCCUUUACAGAAAAAUGUUACUGCAGAAGAAAAGGGGACUCAGAGCACCAGAUAAUUAUGAUUCACACCAAGUCCUCCACUUCAUCCCUUUAUAUUCACAUGUUCAGGAAAAAAAAAGAGAACACAACUCUUGAAAUUUAAGAGACACAGGACUGGAUCUGCAUCACUCGUUCUUUCAUCUCUUGGCUCCCUCUGACUAUAGCAUCCAUCACAUCUCUAUCAAAAGCUGAAAGAGGAACCUGAGGUAGAAGACGGUAUAUUACUUAUUGGACAUUCACAACCAAUACGAGAAUGCAGAACCCUCUCAAACAUUCUGAUUCUGAAAACAUAUAUAAGAAUGAGAACCCUAUGGUUACUCUUUAUCACAAUUGAAAAGAAAAAAACAAUACUGUUACUGCAACUGCUCAAUAAUAACUUGUCUAUUCCAGGUUUUAGUUGUUAUCAGAGUUGGAUUGCAGUCACCGGGCAUUAUAACAAUGCAGAGGAUUACACAUGUAAAUAAAAAGCAAAAACAACUAAAAUAUUCCAUAUACAAUAUGAACUUGACAUUUUAACACAGCUUUUCAGACUAAUGAUCAUCUACAACAGUUUAAAGAAGUAUUCACAUUCGUAUCAAAGAUGAAUAUAUUUUAGGCAUCUAGGAAAAAACUAAAUUCAGUUGGUACUUUCUCAAAACUGGGGUAUAUGAAACCCCAUUGAAAAAAACAAUAAUAUGUAUUUCUCCUCCAGUGAGAAAAAGUAAAAAAUAAUGUAUAAAAAUCGGUUUAUUUUUUGCUUCAAUGACAAAUAACAAUGCAUGUUUAAAAGCACUAACUGUUUACCACUUUCAUCUUGGUUUGUGGUCUAAUAGACACCCAUUUAUUAAGUAGUAAUCAAAACCUAAAUGGGGAUAAAGCUUUUGGAACCAAAUAAAAUGAGAAAAUAUCA